UGGGGAAUAUUGGACAAUGGGCGAAAGCCUGAUCCAGCCAUGCCGCGUGUGUGAAGAAGGCCUUUUGGUUGUAAAGCACUUUAAGCGGGGAGGAGGCUACUUGGAUUAAUACUCUAGGAUAGUGGACGUUACUCGCAGAAUAAGCACCGGCUAACUCUGUGCCAGCAGCCGCGGUAAUACAGAGGGUGCGAGCGUUAAUCGGAUUUACUGGGCGUAAAGCGUGCGUAGGCGGCUUCUUAAGUCGGAUGUGAAAUCCCUGAGCUUAACUUAGGAAUUGCAUUCGAUACUGGGAAGCUAGAGUAUGGGAGAGGAUGGUAGAAUUCCACGUGUAGCGGUGAAAUGCGUAGAGAUCUGGAGGAAUACCGAUGGCGAAGGCAGCCAUCUGGCCUAAUACUGACGCUGAGGUACGAAAGCAUGGGGAGCAAACAGG
rnacentral:rRNA from 1 species